GGCUGGUCUGAAGGUAGUGAGUUAUCUCACUUGAUUGUUCAGUCACACAUUGAACUCCUUGUUCUAAUACUUUCCCCCUUCUCACUAUUGCACUUGACUUGUCUUAA
rnacentral:Y_RNA from 1 species